GCGGAGGAAAAGAAACCAACAGGGAUUGCCUCAGUAACGGCGAGUGAAGCGGCAACAGCUCAAAUUUGAAAUCUGGCCUCUUUGGGGUCCGAGUUGUAAUUUGUAGAGGAUGUUUCGGGUACCGCCUCGGUUUAAAUUUCUUGGAACAGAAUGUCAAAGAGGGUGAGAAUCCCGUCUUGGACCGGCGGUAGGGCCCAUGUGAAACUCCUUCGACGAGUCGAGUUGUUUGGGAAUGCAGCUCAAAAUGGGUGGUAAAUUUCAUCUAAAGCUAAAUAUUGGCCAGAGACCGAUAGCGCACAAGUAGAGUGAUCGAAAGAUGAAAAGCACUUUGAAAAGAGAGUUAAACAGUAUGUGAAAUUGUUGAAAGGGAAGCGCUUACAACCAGACUUGCGCGCGGCGGUUCCCCCUUCCUUUUGGUUGGGCUACUCCGUCGUGUCCAGGCCAACAUCGGUUCUGGGGGUCGGUUAAAGACCCUGGGAAUGUAUCUACCCUUCGGGCGUAGACUUAUAGCUCAGGGUGUCAUGCGACCUCCCGGGACCGAGGAACGCG
rnacentral:rRNA from 1 species